GUGUUCGUUGAGCCGAGAGACGGUUAGCAUCUCCCUCGACAAGGACGGGAUUGCGCCUGCGUGCGUAUCCAACCCCUCGUGGUUUAAGCUCUGUUUGCUCCCUGGAAGCAGGUGAACAGACAUCUCGACCCCUUUUUUUU
rnacentral:ncRNA from 1 species